rnacentral:piRNA from 1 species
UGCAAAGUAGAAUUGCAUCAGAGUCCCCCCA